UAUAACAAAACUUUUAUUGUUUACUCGUUUUUUUUCCUCUGCUUUCGUAAUGAGGAUCUGGGCGUAUACUUCGAAUCAUAUUUCAUUACGCACAUAAUUGACUAUUUCUGACUGCAGCUUGUCUUAUUGUUGAAAAGGAAAGGAUGAUUAGUUGUAGGAUAGUACAUGAGCUAUGAUGUUUUAACUCUACUUUUUUCAGCGCAAUAUGGUAACCAGCUUAAUCAAACCCAUCUAAUGAUUUAGUUUUUAAGUAAGAAUAUUUGUUUGAGAGAUAGUAUAGAAUGGUAAAAUGGCACUUGAACUUUAAACUGAGAUUUUUGGGAAUGAGAGUUCUAUACAUUAUCAAAUAUGGCACAAUUCAUCCUUGAAACGAUGUGACAUAAUAUAACAGUUCAUGUCCUGAGCAGAGCAAGCUAGUCUGGAUGGAAAAUACAUAACAGAGCAAGCAUGGUAUCAUUUUUAUUAUUUUUUUGUCAAAGAGAACUUGAAUACUCUCUAAUUCAACAUUGUUUUCUUAACCUUUUUCAUAUUUAUACUCCUGUUUGUCUCUCGUUUUUUUGCAUUGAGAAUGGAGAACUCUGGGAUCAGUAGAUGUAGUCAAAUAAAUGGGGAAAAAAGAGAAGUACAUGAAAGGAACUGAUUUUGUGUGACUCACCAAGAAGCGUGUGAGAAAUGGGAAAAAGCACACAAAUCAUGCAUGAACUUCUAGUUGUAUACUUGUAUAUGAAGGGUAAAAUGGAGCAGUUAAAAGUAGCACCACAUAAAUAUCAUCUGCUAUCACCAAACUGUGUUCUUUGCAUCUUCCUCCUCGCUUUUCAUGAUGAUAAACCAGACUAAAUUAGCUAUUAGUAUACUUUUACUUGGUGAUAAAGAGAUUGGAGAAAAACUAAUAAAAUAAAGUUAUCAUGCAAAAUCCUAAAAUUAUUUUAGAGAAAAAAUUGCACACCAGCAUUCUUCCACGCCGGUUGAAUUCAAUGCAUGUACUUCUAUGCAUAGAUAGAAUCUGCAUUAUGCGAAGUAGACCAACAAUCGCUGCCCAAAAGACUUGAUGUACAUAAGUGUGAGCCCAAUUGGUCGAUCUAUCUACACUCGAACAUGUCAAUGGCAAGACAAUAGAAGUGUGACAGGAGUAGGUCGCCUCCACCUCGUAUGUGAUGACCAACUUUAGGCUGCAACUGCUCACCUCUCGCCACCAACCAGCAUGGUACCAAGCGUCCCAAAUGGAAUUCACCAUGUCUGCCACUUCUACACGCUACAUGCUACAACUGCAAGAUCUAUACUCCAUAUAUGCGAGAGCUAUAGUUUAUGGAAGUUAGACUUUAGGAAAUGUAUAUGUGAUUCUUUUAGAUAGGUAGGACAUGUAUAUGUAUGAACAUUACGCAUAUAUUUGUUCUUUCUAUGGACUAAAAGAAACAAGGCUAAAUAUCUAUCA